CCGGUAACUGACUGAGGGGGGUGAAAGGUCUCGCUCGCGCCCUGCGCGUGGACGUGGAGGCGGCUGUACUGCGCAUCCCCUGUGUGCGCCUAGGCUGCAGCGUGGGACCUGAGCUGCCGGCCAGAACCCAGCGUGUCUCGUGUGGCCGCGUGUGCGUGCCCGCUGCCCUAUGCCCUGGAUGCACAGACAGUUAAGGGCAUGUGCACAUCCUCAGGGGGUGGCUAAGCAGACACGUUCACCGAAGGACACAUCAUAGGCUGGGCAGAAAUGCCACGUGCAUGUUCAGUGUCAGAGAGAAACCCCCUAGGAAGGUGGUAGCAAAUCCCACUGGUGUUUUAUGCUGGGAUAGAGCGAUAAGAAAGAGUCCUUCCUUGUGUGGUUCUGAGACAAUCCCACCAGAGACAUUGCUUUGAACUGGACCUUCCGUCCUGGAAAGAUAGUGACAAACUGGAGGGUGCUCCAAGUGAUGCUCUGAGUGGAGUUUGGUAUAAUAAGCUUACAAAUAGCUGAAGGGCCUAAACCGCUAGUAAGCAAAGAAAUUAUUUUCUAUCAUAAAUGGGGGUGUAACUGAAAGGAAUGAGAUCAAGGUAAUGAAAAUUAGUGUUUAGAGUCCUCACUCUAUUCUGUAAGAGGCUGUGGGCCUGGGAACACCAUUCCUUGGGACACUUUUGAAAUUGGAAAGCCAGUGUGUACGUACAGACAUAAGACAGCAUUGCCUGCUUGACUGAGCAGGGGAUGUAAAACUCAGGACUCAUUUUCCAUUCUCUGCUCUGUCCCUGUGUUGUGCAACCUUGAGCAGGUCCCUUACCCACUGUGCUGCAGUUUUCCCAUCUGUAAAACAAGGAUAAAUACAUCUACAUUUUGAGAGAUUUUGAAGCUUAAGUACCUUGGUACUGUAUGUAGGUGAUAAAUAUCACAUGCACCUCUGAUUUAGUAUGAACUGUCUUACAGCUGGACAGGGACGUGACGCACACAUGAAUCUAUGCCAAACAUCUCUACAGAGAAGCAUUCCUACCCAACUGGCUAUGUAGGUAGUUCCCUGCUAAGGUGUAGGCACCCUGUUAGCAGGACUGCAUUGAAAUGGCAUAUCACUCCAGUAACUACCAGGCAGGUGUCACGUAGAGCAGAAGACCCCACGAAUUUGUGUUUUCCUGAUUGUCUGGCUUGGCGAGCACACCUAGCAGCUCUCCAUUGUUGUGUGCAGCUGCCCAGCUGACCAUGUUGGCUGCACGCUCUAGAUAUGCUCUGGCUUGGCAUAGACAGGAGAUAUUGGAUCUUCUUGGCCUAUGGGGAGAAGAAGCUGUGCAAACACAGCUACAGACUAGCUGUGGAAAUGUUGACUUCUAUGAAGGGACUGUUCAGGGGAUGAUGGAGAAGAUGGGGACCAGCAGCAGUGCCGUGUGAAAGCGAAGGAGCUUUGGCAGGUGUAUCAGAAGGCCAGGGAGGCCAACAGUCAAUACAGUGUCAAGCCGCAGACCUGCUACUUAUAUAAAGAGCUACAUGCGAUACUUGACAAAGGCACCACCAUCCCACACUCUAACAUCGAUACUUCCAAGGAGCCUGACCCACAGGACCCUAGCCUGAACAGCGAGGAGAAGGGCGAAGAGGAGGAUGGAGGAACUGGCAACUGGGGAGUCCAACUGUGCCAUGAACCAGGACCUGUUUGAGACUCCACUGCAGUCCAGUCAGUCCUGGCAGCCAAGCACAGAUGAGCCCAAUGCAGAGGAAGGAACCUCAGCUGCUGCCAUUGCAGUCUUGACAUUUCCCCCACCACACCCGGGGAACACCUGAGCCAGAUAAGGGAAAGAAGAGGACUCAGGAUGACAUGUUCAAUGAGAUCUUGCACGCCAGUGCUGCAUCAGACCAUGAGCACAUGGCCUGGUAGGUCAACAUUGCAGACAGCUUGGAGAAGGAAAGAGUGGAAAGGAGAGAGGCCUGGGAGUCCCAGCAGGAAAAGGAGAGUGAAAUACACCAGGACAUAAUGGGGCUUCUCAGGCAGUAAUCACAGAUACUGCAACUCUGAUGGACUUACAGGUUCAACAAUCCCGGGCUCACUUUCCUCUGCAACCCACUGAGAACUCCAUUAUGGGACCUCCCUGCCUUGCCCCCAACAUUCCACAUGGCAUCAGAGGCUGCUGCACUACCCAUACCACUCCACCCUGAGUACAUUAAAGACAAUCACAGCUUCACAUACACUGACCUGUGAAAACCACAAUUGGUCUGUUUAGCUGAAAUUGACACGAAUGUUCUUUUCCCUUCAUACGUUCCGUUCUUGUUAAUUUAUUAUGUUUUAUUAAUUUUUAAUGCAUUUAUUUUAAAAUUGCACUGGGGGGUGUACUGAUUUGGUAACGGAAUAAAAUUCUAUUAUUUAGAACAUAAUUUAUCUUUAUCAGUUCACAACAUAACGUUGCCGAGUGCCUAUCAGUUCUGAAAGCAACCAACUAUUCGUUACUGCACAGUGUCACAAACUUAUAGGAUUGGUCACAGACAAAAUUAAUAGGUGCAUUGAUAGUAUUAGAAUCAUACAUGUACACCAAGCACUACACAGUUCUUAACAGGCCACAAAACAGCAGAACCUGGUAGAACACAAUACACUACAGCGCAUUACUGUGGAUCACUUUUGAAGUGGUCUUUCAUAGAAUCUUACGGUUGGAAGGGACCUCAGAAGGUCAUCUAGUCCAACCCCCUGCUCAAAGCAGGACCAAUCCCCACCUAAAUCAUCCCAGCCAGGGCUUUGUCAAGCCUGACCUUAAAAACCUCUAA